rnacentral:tRNA from 1 species
UCAGUCAUGGCCUACUGGUUAGGGCUCCGGACUUGUAACCGGAGGGUUGCCGGGUUCGAACCCCGACCAGUAGAA